rnacentral:rRNA from 1 species
UACGUAGGGUGCAAGCGUUGUCCGGAAUUAUUGGGCGUAAAGAGCUCGUAGGCGGUCUGUCGCGUCGGCUGUGAAAACCUGGGGCUCAACUCCGGGCCUGCAGCCGAUACGGGCAGACUAGAAUUCGGUAGGGGAGACUGGAAUUCCUGGUGUAGCGGUGAAAUGCGCAGAUAUCAGGAGGAACACCGGUGGCGAAGGCGGGCCUCUGGGCCGAUAUUGACGCUGAGGAGCGAAAGCGUGGGGAGCGAACAGG